rnacentral:tRNA from 1 species
GUUUACAUAGUUUAUUAAUAAAACAUUACACUUUCACUGUAAAGAUAAAGGAUAUUUUGUAAAUA